rnacentral:rRNA from 1 species
UAGGGAAUCUUCGGCAAUGGGCGAAAGCCUGACGGAGCAACGCCGCGUGAGUGAUGAAGGUCUUCGGAUCGUAAAACUCUGUUAUUAGGGAAGAACAUAUGUGUAAGUAACUGUGCACAUCUUGACGGUACCUAAUCAGAAAGCCACGGCUAACUACGUGCCAGCAGCCGCGGUAAUACGUAGGUGGCAAGCGUUAUCCGGAAUUAUUGGGCGUAAAGCGCGCGUAGGCGGUUUUUUAAGUCUGAUGUGAAAGCCCACGGCUCAACCGUGGAGGGUCAUUGGAAACUGGAAAACUUGAGUGCAGAAGAGGAAAGUGGAAUUCCAUGUGUAGCGGUGAAAUGCGCAGAGAUAUGGAGGAACACCAGUGGCGAAGGCGACUUUCUGGUCUGUAACUGACGCUGAUGUGCGAAAGCGUGGGGAUCAAACAGGAUUAGAUACCCUGGUAGUCCACGCCGUAAACGAUGAGUGCUAAGUGUUAGGGGGUUUCCGCCCCUUAGUGCUGCAGCUAACGCAUUAAGCACUCCGCCUGGGGAGUACGACCGCAAGGUUG